GCCAGACUCCUACGGGAGGCAGCAGUGGGGAAUAUUGGGCAAUGGGCGCAAGCCUGACCCAGCAACGCCGCGUGAAGGAAGAAGGCUUUCGGGUUGUAAACUUCUUUUAAGAGGGAAGAGUAGAAGACGGUACCUCUUGAAUAAGCCACGGCUAACUACGUGCCAGCAGCCGCGGUAAUACGUAGGUGGCAAGCGUUGUCCGGAUUUACUGGGUGUAAAGGGCGUGUAGCCGGGCCGGCAAGUCAGAUGUGAAAUCCCAGGGCUCAACCUUGGAACUGCAUUUGAAACUGUUGGUCUUGAGUAUCGGAGAGGCAGGCGGAAUUCCUAGUGUAGCGGUGAAAUGCGUAGAUAUUAGGAGGAACACCAGUGGCGAAGGCGGCCUGCUGGACGACAACUGACGGUGAGGCGCGAAAGCGUGGGGAGCAAACAGGAUUAGGUACCCCAGUAGAA
rnacentral:rRNA from 1 species